UCCGGUUUAUCACCGGCAGUCUCCUUAGAGUUCCCAUCUUUACAUGCUGGCAACUAAGGACAAGGGUUGCGCUCGUUACGGGACUUAACCCAACAUCUCACGACACGAGCUGACGACAGCCAUGCAGCACCUGUCUCUUCGCUCCUUUCGGCACUCCCACAUCUCUGCAGGAUUCGAAGGAUGUCAAGGGUAGGUAAGGUUCUUCGCGUUGCAUCGAAUUAAACCACAUGCUCCACCGCUUGUGCGGGUCCCCGUCAAUUCCUUUGAGUUUUAACCUUGCGGUCGUACUCCCCAGGCGGAUAACUUAUCGCGUUUGCUUCGAUACUGACAGGUUUUACCUCCCAACAUCUAGUUAUCAUCGUUUACGGCAUGGACUAC
rnacentral:misc_RNA from 1 species